GGCACGCGCCCGAGGAGCCGUUGGGCACGCGCGCGAUCCCGCCUUGCCGCCCGUCUCCUGAGGCGCGAGCUGCUGGGCGGCUACCGGGAGCGCUCGGCGUUCUCCCCUCGCCGUUCGCUGCCCCCGGGUUCGGAACGGGCGUGGCGCUCUAGCCCGGCACCCGCCUUCCCCUCGGUCCUCGUUCGGGCUGUCGGCAUCGCCGCGCUGGGUGCCGAGGGGGCGAUUGCCGCAGGGUCAUGAUCCACUAAUGCCAGUUCAUUCUUUGCUUCCCUCCUGGAGCAAUGCCUACCGAUUGCUUCCAAGAGAACACCUGGGUGCAGGUGGCAGAUGUUUUCUCCAGAGUCCAGUGAAGCCAAAUAGCAUGAAUAGCAAGUCGCAUCAAGUUCGUCUUUCUUCACCUGGGACAGGAUUCCAGUGUCAUCCUGGGAACAGGAUUCUCUGGAUAAGGCCUGAAAACACAUAGCAUAUUCUCAAGUAACAUACAAGUUUUGUUGUAUACCUGCAUUUUGAUCGGCACUGGCACGUCAGUGAUACGCUGUUGAGAAAAAAAUAUGCUCUACCAAGGAGAUGUGACAUUCUACGUGGCAGUGGCAGUGACAGGACAGCACCUGACAGCUCUGAGUGGUGGCAACGAUCUCCUGCAACUUCUCAAUGUCAGUGACACAAUUUGUAUGCUCAGCAGUUCUUGGCGGAGAUUUCUGCAGGGAGGAGGACCUUCAGCAGGAGAGGGGAGCUGGAAGUACUGAGCCCAGAACCAUGGAAAGUGUUGCUUUUAAUCUCUAACUGUAACCAUGUUUGUAGCAAAGUGUUAACUCCCCUGCACAUGAACGCACUUCAUCUGCACAAAGAUAUUGCGCGGUGUAUUAAAAUGUAUGUCAUGCUGGAGAACAAAGAGCACGUGACAUUAUGGACUGAAUUCAUAGUUACAAUAAAAGGAGCAAUGAAAAUUCAAUAAGAAGA